CUGCAUAGCCAGAGAUCCCCUUCUCUGGUUGAGGGAGUUCAACUUUUUUUUUUCUUCUUUUUUUCUUUGUAUGACUGGUGGCCUACCUAUCUGCACGAAGUCUUGGAGCUGCCUGGCUCUAGGAGACAUGAACCUGUACCCUGUGUGUGCAGUGCUACAGUAAUUCACCAACCUGAUGUCUUUGUGCUAGACGAAGUCUUGGUGAUCAUAACUUGUCUAGAUCUGCCCCAAAGCAAGAGGUGGAGCCUGUGUGCGUGGGGACACUUGCCUGGGUAAUGUGAUGCAAAGGGGUUGGCCUUCCAGAUCAGCACAUUAUUCUUCUCACGUGGAGAGUGUGGACAUGAAUAUCUGGCAGAUGUAUAAUAACGUGAAAUACUGGGCCCCUGAGUGC